rnacentral:rRNA from 1 species
AUGAUAGGCCUGAGUUGGAAUUGCCGAGGAAUCGGAGGCGCCUCGACAGUUCGUGAUCUCACCGGCCUCGUUCAAACUCACCGCCCGCAGUUCGUGUUUUUGUGUUAAACUAGGCAAAAGUCUGAAAGAGUUUGUCGUUUGUGUCACCGCUUAGGUCUGCGUGGCUUUUGCGGUGUCAACAGUGAAGGUCAGAAUGGUGGUUUAGCUCUGUUCUGAAAUGAUCAGUUAUCAGUUGAGAUUAAAGAUAAGAACAAUAGAAUGAUUGAUGCUUAUGUUCGUGCCUCCCCGUCUAAUCCAGAGUGGCAUCUUACUUGUGUUUAUGGGGAACCCCGUACUGAAAACCGGCAUCGGAUGCGGUCCAUAAUCUCAUACCUGCGGGCGAACAGUAACCUUCCAUGGAUGCUCAUGGGUAUACCUGGCCAUGGGAAGGCCGGCCCGGCCAGCCCGGCCCAAAAAAGCCCGACCCGGCCCGGCCCGACGCUGCUCCCGGGCCGGGCUCGGGCCUGGAUUUUGAGCCCGAUGGCCGGGCCGGGACGGGCCUGGGCCCAUCAUUUUUGCAUUUUCCUGAAGGUCGGGCCGGGCCGGCCCGAAGCCCGACGGGCUUUUACGUGUUCGGGCCGGGCUCGGGCCCAGAAAACAUGCCCGAUGGCCGGGCCGGGCCUGGGCCUGGGUUUUUUGCAUCGGGCUUGGCUAGGCCCGGCCCGAGGUAUGGCCAGGUAUACUCAUGGGGGAUUUUAA